rnacentral:rRNA from 1 species
AUACGUAGGGGGCGAGCGUUGUCCGGAAUGACUGGGCGUAAAGGGUACGUAGGCGGCUAGGUAAGUCAGAUGUGAAAGGCGCAGGCUUAACCUGUGUAAGCAUUUGAAACUGUCUAGCUUGAGUUAAGGAGAGGAAAGUGGAAUUCCUGGUGUAGCGGUGAAAUGCGUAGAUAUCAGGAGGAAUACCAGUGGCGAAGGCGACUUUCUGGACUUAUACUGACGCUGAGGUACGAAAGCGUGGGGAGCAAACAGGAUUAGAUACCCUGGUAGUCCACGCCGUAAACGAUGAGUGCUAGGUGUCGGGGGUCAAACCUCGGUGCCGGAGUUAACACAUUAAGCACUCCGCCUGGGGAGUACGUUCGCAAGAAUGAA